CGUCAGGUAGCUCAGUGGUUUAGAGCAGUCGCCCGGCAAGCGAAAGAUCCGGGUUCGGUUUCUGGUCUAGCGA
rnacentral:tRNA from 1 species